rnacentral:rRNA from 1 species
UACGUAGGGGGCAAGCGUUGUCCGGAUUUACUGGGCGUAAAGAGCGUGUAGGCGGCCAAGCAGGUCCGUUGUGAAAACUGGAGGCUUAACCUCCAGACGUCGACGGAAACCGCGUGGCUAGAGUCCGGAAGAGGAGAGUGGAAUUCCUGGUGCAGCGGUGAAAUGCGCAGAUAUCAGGAAGAACACCAAUGGCGAAGGCAGCUCUCUGGGACGGUACUGACGCUGAGACGCGAAAGCGUGGGGAGCGAACAGG